CGAUCGAUUCGGGGCGUGGACCGAC
rnacentral:siRNA from 1 species